ACGAAGCUACAGUGACUGGGUGUGAAGCGCAAACUUCAUGCAAAUCUUGUGGCGGGGAUAAUUGGCACAGACAGUAAAUGUAGCAGCAACGGACGAUCACACAUAGGACACAUCCAGAAUAACUAAUUUCCUUCAUAGGCUGCCUACAUCUGAAAGGACUGCUGAUUUGCUGAAGUGCUUUAUGAACUGUUGGAGAUCGACAUAAGAGGCCCCUGAAGGCAAUGUGUGUGGCUCAGAGAGUGGCCCAAGCAAUCAGGAGGAUUUUUGGCUCUGGGCUGUUACCAUCAGUCGAUUCCCUCUAAGAGAGAUUAAACUAUUCAACAACGUCGAAAGUUGCCUACUUCAAGAGGAAAUAUGCGAAAGAGGAGGAUUUACAUGGAGACCUACAUGGAUAUUUUCCAAAACACCUGAUACGUCAGGAGGACCGCAACUGCAUCCUCAAGCUCUCCUUGGAGAAGCUGAGAUUCUUGGAGGACCCUGAAGCCUACCUGCGACGCUCAGUGCUCAUCAACAACCUGCUGAGGAAGAUCCACCAUGAGGAGGAGGAGGGUGAGGCGGAGGAUGAAGAAGAAGAAGAGAGGCAGGGGAACUGUGACAGGGGCCCAGGCAGCCAGCGGCUGCUCUACCCUGACAGGAAGCGUGUGAAGGUGGUGGUGGCAGACUGCUGCUCUCAGUCCUUUGGGCUGAAGGAGAUACCACACUACCACCUGGUGGCCUACCCCUCCCCCACAUGCCUCUACGGCCUGGGCACAUUUCCCAGCAUCUCCCCUGGCCACGGGGCACAAGUUCUGCUCUAUAAACUGGACGAUAAUGGGUGACUUAGUGAAUUGCUGCCAAAGUACGGGUAGAAAUUGAGAUGGACCAUGCACAUCGAAGUAAUUGGCAGGGAGUGGUUUGGUGACAGAACCCCCUAUUCACUCAGAGCGGCACUCUGCAUCUUGCUGUCUGACGCUAUCUACAUGCAAAAUGGGAGGCUACGGCUUCUCCUGUGUGGUUUCUGAUAUGAUCAACAGAGCAAGAGUCCGAAUCAGGGUCUUCAAAGGGCAUUUUUGUUACAGCGUCACUGCCUUUACAUGCUGAUGUGAGAGAGAGAUUCCUUGCAGAAAUGUGUUUUUAUGGUUAUAGCUCAUGUAAACCUUGAGCAUAUUCAGGGGUACAUACUGUACAACUAAUGCACCUUGCCUCUAGCAGACUGAUGACUAUAAACACACUGCGAUUUCGGACAUUUGAAAGGGUCCUGAGAACGUUGAUACAUGCCUUCCUCGGCACUCACCAAAAAACAGAAAAAUUAUCGCUGAGCACGAACUCGUGAUGCUCGGAGCCGGAGCACGCUGCUUAGACCACUGCGCUAUGGCAGUUCACAAUGCCCUAGCAAGCUGUGAGAAUACAGAGAAUACUGAUGAUACUUGAUGGUAAUAUCAUGUAGUUUUUUAUAAUUGGGUUUUAAGCCUUUCCCAAACCAUAGCCCUAACCUUAACCACUCUGAAUUAAUACCUAAACUUAACCAUUUUAGUUGUUUCUGUUUUAACCCUGUAACCAUGCGGAAUUAACCCUGAAACAGACGUUCAUCCAUAAUACGUUGAAUUUCAAAAGGAAACUAUGAAAUCUUGUUGGCCUCUACACCAGAGAAACAGCCAAUGUUUGUGUUUGGAGAUCUGGAUGUCUCCUGGCAUGCUUGUGUGACCAUCAAUCUACUCUGUUGUGUAUAUUGAUAUUUUCUAUUUUGAGGUUUAAUGUAUUCAGGCCAAGAAAAAUAAAACAGAACAGUAGGUCAUUCCACAGCCUCAUCUUGAAUGUGCCAGUUUUAAUGUGACUAAAUCAUUUAGAUUCUCAAAGAGACAACCCUGUUUAGUGCUAAUGUUACUGUUACUCAUGCUAGAGGAAUAUCACUAACUUGACUCAGCAACAGCACAUUGUCAUAUGGGUUUCUUUGAUCAUGUUCAUGUCAAACAAUUCCCUGUUUUUUCUAGCUAAUUUUGAUAUUUUUAUCUAGAUUUCCCAGUUUUAUGGGGCAGGCAAACAAUGUUAAGGUUUUACCUAAAAAAAAGAAAGGUAAAUAACCUAUUCAUGAAUAGUUUGACUGUUCAUUAACUUGUUUUUAUUAUUUUAUUUUAAAAUUUGUGCAACAACGUGAAUAUCAAUUGCUAUUGUCUUAUUUUUUCUGUAUUUGAGUACCAAUAGUUGAGUGUGUUCAGUGUAAGGAUUGUUUCUCCGUUAUUGUUAAAUGUCUAACAAACAACAAUGACUAAAAUGUUAUUUAUGCUAUUUUACUGUAUGAAAUGUAUAUUUGGAAGAAAAUUGACAUAUUCCUCAUUAAAGAUAGCUAUUUUGCCAAAAUA